GCGCCGGUAGCUCAGCUUGGAUAGAGCGAAUGCCUCCUAAGCAUUAGGUCGGGAGUUCAAAUCUUCUCCGGCGCG
rnacentral:tRNA from 1 species